CUCAAACCCCACAACAGGAUUUAAUUAACCUCGCCUUCAAGGUGUACAAUAAUAGAAAAGAGUUGCAAUUCCUUGCCUCCACUGUGAGACAAACCCCAGCCACACCUCCAGCACACAAGAACUUCCAAACGCCUGAACCGCAGUGGCCAGGCGUUCCUCCAGAACCUCCUCCCCCAGGAGCUUGCUACAAGUGCCAGAAAUCUGGCCACCAGGGCAAGGAAUGCCUGCAGCCCAGGAUUCCUCCUAAGCUGUGUCCCAUCUGUGCCGGACCCCACUGGAAAUCAGACUGUUCAACUCACCUGGCAGCCACUCCCAGAGCUCCUGGAACUCUGGCCCAAGGCUCUCUGACUGCUUCCCAGAUCUUCUUGGCUUAGCAGCUGAAGACUGACACUGCCCGAUCGCCUCGGAAGCCCCCUAGACCAUCACGGACGCUGAGCUUCAGGUAACUCUCACAGUGGAGGGUACACAUCCAGAUGGCCGGUUCCUGCCUUAACUGCUGACAUUCCACCACAAAAGAAGUGAAAAUGGCCUGUUCCUGCCUUAACUGAUGACAGAUUGUCUUGUGAAAUUCCUUCUCCUGGCUCAUCCUGGCUCAAAAGCUCCCCCACUGAGUACCUUGUGACCCCCACUCUGCCCACCAGAGAACAAUCCCCUUUCGACUGUAAUUUUCCUUUACCUACUGAAAUCCUAUAAAAUAGCCCCACCCCUAUCUCCCUUCGCUGACUCUCUUUUCGGGCUCAGCCCGCCUGCACCCAGGUGAAAUAAACAGCUUUAUUGCUCACA
rnacentral:lncRNA from 1 species